GAGGAAUAUUGGUCAAUGGGCGCAAGCCUGAACCAGCCAUCCCGCGUGAAGGAUGAAGGUCCUAUGGAUUGUAAACUUCUUUUAUACACCAAGAAAAACUCGAACGUGUUCGAGCCCGACGGUAGUGUAUGAAUAAGCAUCGGCUAACUCCGUGCCAGCAGCCGCGGUAAUACGGAGGAUGCAAGCGUUAUCCGGAUUCAUUGGGUUUAAAGGGUGCGUAGGCGGCUUUUUAAGUCAGUGGUGAAAUCCUGCCGCUUAACGGUAGAAUUGCCAUUGAUACUGAAAAGCUUGAGUACAAUUGAGGUAAGCGGAAUGUGUAGUGUAGCGGUGAAAUGCUUAGAUAUUACACAGAACACCAAUUGCGAAGGCAGCUUACUAAACUGUUACUGACGCUGAUGCACGAAAGCGUGGGGAGCGAAC
rnacentral:rRNA from 1 species